UCAAAUGAACCAAGGCAUAUGGUGGAGACCUAGGCACUCAGAGACGAUGAAGGGCGCAGAUACCGGCGAUACGCUUCGGGGAGCUGGCAACAAGCUUUGAUCCGGAGAUUCCCGAAUAGGGCAACCUAUAAAACUACCUAUAUAAUUCAUAGUUAGGUAAGAGGCAACCCAGUGAACUGAAACAUCUAAGUAGCUGGAGGAAAAGAAAGCAAACGCGAUUCCCGUAGUAGUGGCGAACGAACCGGGAUUAGCCUAAACCCGUAGCAUAUAUGGGGGUAGUGGGAGGACUAUAUUUGUGUUAGCUUACUUUUUUAUAAGCUAACACAAAUCAAAAAAAUCUAUAGCCUUUAAAAGGCCUAUUUUUAUACGAAGCAGCUGAAUCCUGCACCAUAGAUGGUGAAAGUCCAGUAGUAAAAAAAAAAAAUAAAAAAGUCUAAUUCCCGAGUAGUAUGGGGCACGUGAAAUCCCGUAUGAAUCUGCGAGGACCACCUCGUAAGGCUAAAUAUUCCUGAGUGACCGAUAGCGAAAUAGUACCGCGAGGGAACGGUGAAAAGAACCCCUGUUGGGGAGUGAAAUAGAACAUGAAACCAUGUGCUUGCAAGCAGUGGAAGGGUUAAGAGCCUGACCGCGUGCCUGUUGAAGAAUGAGCCGGCGACUUAUAGGAAGUGGCUGGGUUAAGGAAUUCAAUCCGUAGCCCAAGCGAAAGCGAGUCUGAAUAGGGCGUAAAUGGUCACUUCUUAUGGACCCGAACCCGGGUGAUCUAUUCAUGACCAGGUUGAAGCUUUUGUAACACUAAGUGGAGGACCGAACCGACCGAUGUUGAAAAAUCGGCGGAUGAGUUGUGAAUAGGGGAGAAAUUCCAAUCGAACUCGGAGCUAGCUGGAUCUCCCCGAAAUGCGUUGAGGCGCAGCGGUAACGAUGUACAGUCUUGGGGUAAAGCUACUGUUUCGAUGCGGGCUGCGAGAGCGGUACCAAGUCGUGGCAAACUCAGAAUACAAGAUUGUUUUCCGUAAACCAGUGAGACAGUGGGGGAUAAGCUUCAUUGUCAAGAGGGAAACAGCCCAGAUCACCAGCUAAGGCCCCUAAAUGGCUGCUAAGUGGAAAAGGAUGUGAGAAUGCUUAAACAACCAGGAAGUUCGCUUAGAAGCAGCUACCCUUGAAAGAGUGCGUAAUAGCUCACUGGUAAAGCGUUCUUGCGCCGACAAUGGCCGGGACUAAGUAGCCUGCCGAAGCUGUGAUAUAGUUUAACUUAUAAAUUAUAGGUAGGGGAGCGUUCUGGUCUCGGGUGAAGUUUAUACGUAAGUAUGGAUGGACGAACCAGAAGUGAGAAUGUUGGCUUGAGUAACGAAAACAUCGGUGAGAAUCCGAUGCCCCGAAAACCUAAGGGUUCCUCCACUAGGCUCGUCCAUGGGGGGUUAGUCAGGACCUAAGACCAGGCCAAAUGGCGUCGUCGAUGGAAAACAGGUUAAUAUUCCUGUACGAAUUUUAUUAAGAUCUGGGGGACGAAGGAGGCUACUCUAAAACUGUUUUUGGAUUGCAGUGGAAGCGUUUAGGUUGAGAGAUAGAAUAAAAACUAUCUUUUUGGUCUCUGGCCAAAAAACUGAGACGUGAUCCCUGUCUUAUGGUUCGCCAUAAGAUAGUUAGAAUAUGUCAAACUUCCAAGAAAAUCCCAUACAUCUAUAUAAUAAAGUUCCCUGUACCUGAAACCGACACAGGUAGGUUGGUAGAGAAUACCAAGGGGCGCGAGAGAACUCUCUCUAAGGAACUCGGCAAACUGGCCCCGUAACUUCGGAAGAAGGGGCGCCCUCUAAAAAAGGGUCGCAGUGACCAGGCCCAGGCGACUGUUUACCAAAAACACAGGUCUCCGCAAAGUCGAAAGACAAAAUAUGGGGGCUGACGCCUGCCCAGUGCCGGAAGGUUAAGGAAGUUGGUUAUUUCGCAAGAAAAAAGCUGACGACCGAAGCCCCGGUGAACGGCGGCCGUAACUAUAACGGUCCUAAGGUAGCGAAAUUCAUUGUCGAGUAAGUUUCGACCUGCACGAAAGGCGUAACGAUCUGGGCGCUGUCUCGGAGAGAGGCUCGGUGAAAUAGACUUGUCCCGUGAAGAUGCGGACUACUUACACCUGGACAGAAAGACCCUAUGAAGCUUGACUGUAUCUUGGAAUUGGGUUUGGGCUUUUCUUGCGCAGCCUAGGUGGGAGGCUAUGAUGAUUUCCUUCCGGGGAAGUUGGAGCCGUCAUUGAGAGACCACUCUGGAAGAGCUAGAAUCCUAAUGGGGAUCCUUGAAUCAGGACCCUUGAAAGUUUCAGGUGGGCAGUUUAUUUGGGGCGAAUGCCUCCCAAAAGGUAACGGAGGCGUGCAAAGGUUCCCUCAGUCUGGACGGAAAUCAGACAUUGAGUGCAAAGGCAAAAGGGAGCUUGACUGCAAGACCUACAAGUCGAGCAGGGGCGAAAGCCGGCCUUAGUGAUCCGACGGUGCCGUGUGGAAGGGCCGUCGCUCAACGGAUAAAAGUUACUCUAGGGAUAACAGGCUGAUCUUCCCCAAGAGUUCACAUCGACGGGAAGGUUUGGCACCUCGAUGUCGGCUCAUCACAUCCUCGAUCUGUAGUAGGUUCCGAAGGGUUGGGCUGUUCGCCCAUUAAAGUGGUACGUGAGCUGGGUUCAGAACGUCGUGAGACAGUUCGGUCCAUAUCCGGUGUAAGCGUUAGAGUAUUGAGGGGAGCCUUCUAUAGUACGAGAGGACCUAGAAGGACAUGCCAAUGGUGUACCAGUUCUCAUUCCAAUGGGAAACGCUGGGUAGCUAUGCAUGGAUAGAUAACUGCUGAAAGCAUCUAAGUAGGAAGCUAACCCCAAGAUGAGUACUCUCUUUAAGGUCGCGGCCAGAUAAGCCGUUUAAUAGGCAUCAGGUGUACAAUCAGCAAUGACUUUAGCCGAGAUGUACUAAAGACCGAUAGAUUUUGAC
rnacentral:rRNA from 1 species